rnacentral:rRNA from 1 species
UACGAAGGGGGCUAGCGUUGCUCGGAAUCACUGGGCGUAAAGGGCGUGUAGGCGGUGUGUCAAGUCAGGCGUGAAAGCCCCGGGCUCAACCUGGGAACAGCGCUUGAGACUGCACGCUCGAGUCCGGGAGAGGUGAGUGGAACUGCGAGUGUAGAGGUGAAAUUCGUAGAUAUUCGCAAGAACACCAGUGGCGAAGGCGGCUCACUGGCCCGGUACUGACGCUGAGGUGCGAAAGCGUGGGGAGCAAACAGG